rnacentral:rRNA from 1 species
GACUCUUAGCGGUGGAUCACUCGGCUCGUGCGUCGAUGAAGAAUGCAGCUAGCUGCGAGAACUAAUGUGGAUUGCAGGACACAUUGAUCAUCGACACUUCGAAUCAAACAUCGACACAAACACGCAGAGUUGUAAAUGUGAACAGGUGGAU